CAGAGACGUGCUUACAGUUACAAAUCUCCAACCGCUCUGAAACACAUUUGUCCCCUCCUCGCUUUUUAUUGCUUUUAGAAACCCUCUUACAUCGGGCGCUGCAACUUCUCAAAGGGAGGGGGAAAACAAUUCAUCACAUAGUUGCAGCGCUAAUGACAUUCACUAUUUAGACACAUGUUAUCUACACUCUAAAUCCUUCUGCUCCAGUCGAGUACCAGACACAGCGUCGAGUAGGACAUGUUGCAUAUAACACAGGAGAGCAGAAAGAGUUGUCUCCGCUAUCUCCCAGGAAGGCUUCACUGCUCUCUUUCCCAAGGAGGUCACAGGAAGGAAUCAAAGUUAUUUAACACACAGAAACAUUACUUAAAAUAGA